rnacentral:rRNA from 1 species
GAUGAACGCUGGCGGCGUGCCUAAUACAUGCAAGUCGAGCGAACGGACGAGAAGCUUGCUUCUCUGAUGUUAGCGGCGGACGGGUGAGUAACACGUGGAUAACCUACCUAUAAGACUGGGAUAACUUCGGGAAACCGGAGCUAAUACCGGAUAAUAUUUUGAACCGCAUGGUUCAAAAGUGAAAGACGGUCUUGCUGUCACUUAUAGGUGGAUCCGCGCUGCAUUAGCUAGUUGGUAAGGUAACGGCUUACCAAGGCAACGAUGCAUAGCCGACCUGAGAGGGUGAUCGGCCACACUGGAACUGAGACACGGUCCAGACUCCUACGGGAGGCAGCAGUAGGGAAUCUUCCGCAAUGGGCGAAAGCCUGACGGAGCAACGCCGCGUGAGUGAUGAAGGUCUUCGGAUCGUAAAACUCUGUUAUUAGGGAAGAACAUAUGUGUAAGUAACUAUGCACAUCUUGACGGUACCUAAUCAGAAAGCCACGGCUAACUACGUG